AACGAACGCUGGCGGCAGGCUUAACACAUGCAAGUCGAACGCCCCGCAAGGGGAGUGGCAGACGGGUGAGUAACGCGUGGGAAUCUACCUAGUUCUACGGAACAACAGUUGGAAACGACUGCUAAUACCGUAUACGCCCUACGGGGGAAAGAUUUAUCGGAAUUAGAUGAGCCCGCGUAAGAUUAGCUAGUUGGUGGGGU
rnacentral:rRNA from 1 species